rnacentral:rRNA from 1 species
UACGGAGGGUGCAAGCGUUAUCCGGAUUCACUGGGUUUAAAGGGUGCGUAGGCGGGUAUAUAAGGUUCAGUGGUGAAAGCUCCGGGCUUAACUUGGAACUGCCAUUGAUACUGGUAUAUCUUGAAUGUCGUUGAGGUAAGCGGAAUGGUUGCAUGUAGCGGUGAAAUGCUUAGAUAAUGUUACAGAACACCAAUUGUGAAGACAGC